rnacentral:rRNA from 1 species
ACCGGCAGCCAUAUUACCCUGUAGCCCAAGACUGGUUGCCCACUGAAGCUAAGCAGGGUUGAGCUGGUCAGUACCUGGAUGGGAGACCUCCUGGGGAAACUAGGUUGCUGCUGGAA